GUUUGAUCCUGGCUCAGGAUGAACGCUGGCGGCAUGCCUAAUACAUGCAAGUCGAACGAGGUCAAGGAGAGCUUGCUCGAGAUGACCUAGUGGCGAACGGGUGAGUAACACGUGGGCAAUCUGCCCGUAUGUCGUGGAUAACGGUUGGAAACGACAGCUAAUACAGGAUGAGCAUCCCGAAGGCAUCUUUGGGAUGUAAAAGGGGCUAAGGCCCCGCAUACGGAUGAGCCUGCGGUGCAUUAGCUAGUUGGUGAGGUAACGGCCCACCAAGGCGAUGAUGCAUAGCCGACCUGAGAGGGUGACCGGCCACAUUGGGACUGAGACACGGCCCAAACUCCUACGGGAGGCAGCAGUAGGGAAUUUUCGUCAAUGGGGGGAACCCUGAACGAGCAAUGCCGCGUGAGUGAAGAAGGUCUUCGGAUCGUAAAGCUCUGUUGUAAGAGAAAAACGGACUCCAUAGGGAAUGAUGGAGGAGUGAUGGUAUCUUACCAGAAAGCCACGGCUAACUACGUGCCAGCAGCCGCGGUAAUACGUAGGUGGCGAGCGUUAUCCGGAAUUAUUGGGCGUAAAGAGGGAGCAGGCGGCACUAAGGGUCUGUGGUGAAAGAUCGAAGCUUAACUUCGGUAAGCCAUGGAAACCGUAGAGCUAGAGUGUGUGAGAGGAUCGUGGAAUUCCAUGUGUAGCGGUGAAAUGCGUAGAUAUAUGGAGGAACACCAGUGGCGAAGGCGACGAUCUGGCGCAUAACUGACGCUCAGUCCCGAAAGCGUGGGGAGCAAAUAGGAUUAGAUACCCUAGUAGUCCACGCCGUAAACGAUGAGAACUAAGUGUUGGGGAAACUCAGUGCUGCAGUUAACGCAAUAAGUUCUCCGCCUGGGGAGUAUGCACGCAAGUGUGAAACUCAAAGGAAUUGACGGGGGCCCGCACAAGCGGUGGAGUAUGUGGUUUAA
rnacentral:rRNA from 1 species